rnacentral:rRNA from 1 species
GUCCUGGCAGUAAACGGUGCACGCUUGGUAUGGGGGGAAUCGACCCCUCCCGUGCCGGAGCUAACGCGUUAAGCGUGCCGCCUGGGAAGUACGGUCGCAAGAUUAAAACUCAAAGAAAUUGACGGGGACCCGCACAAGCGGUGGAGUAUGUGGCUUAAUUCGAUGCAACGCGAAGAACCUUACCUGGGCUUGACAUGCAUCUCUCAAACGGUGAAAGCCGUGGAUAGGAGCAAUCCUAAAUUUGCACAGGUGUUGCAUGGCUGUCGU